rnacentral:rRNA from 1 species
GCCCGCUCAAGAACUCAAAGGAAUUGACGGGGCCCGCACAAGCGGAGGAGCAUGUGGUUUAAUUCGAUGAUACGCGAGGAACCUUACCUGGGCUCGAACGUAAGAUGACUGUAGGUGAAAGCUUACAUCUCUUCGGAGCAUUUUACGAGGUGCUGCAUGGUUGUCGUCAGCUCGUGCCGUGAGGUGUCGGGUUAAGUCCCAUAACGAGCGCAACCCCUACCUUUAGUUGCCAUCAGGUUAAGCUGGGGACUCUAAAGGAACUGCCUACGCAAGUAGUGAGGAAGGCGGGGAUGACGUCAAAUCAGCACGGCCCUUACGUCCAGGGCUACACACGUGCUACAAUGGCCGAUACAGAGGGCAGCUACCUGGUGACAGGAUGCAAAUCUCCAAAGUCGGUCUCAGUUCGGAUCGGAGUCUGCAACCCGACUCCGUGAAGUUGGAUUCGCUAGUAAUCGCGCAUCAGCCAUGGCGCGGUGAAUACGUUCCCGGGCCUU